rnacentral:lncRNA from 1 species
UUACUCUAACCUUAAAACAUCUGCGCGGAAAACAUAAACAAAUAAGUCUUAGUAACAUCAACUCUAAUUACAUCGCAUAACUACAUUAAUAAAACAGUCUUCAUUACUUGCUAAGCUUGCCCUUGCCCUUACUAGUGGAAGGUUCGUCUGCUCUUUCAUUCUUAACUGCAAUGUUAUUAUUACGCAAGAGUGAGGACGAUUGCCCACAAGUAUAACAAUAUAACAAUGAAUAAUAACAUGCGAG